rnacentral:misc_RNA from 1 species
GCAAACUUGGUCAUUUAGAGGAAGUAAAAGUCGUAACAAGGUUUCCGUAGGUGAACCUGCGGAAGGAUCAUUAAAGAUUUACAGGCGAAAGCCUGUUUUAAUCAUCCAUCCUCAUUACAUUGUGAACUGUUGGAACCUAAUUUUUUUAAAUUAGGCUUUCUAAAUUUUUAUUAUACAUUGUAUGGAUUGAAUGUUAAUUUUUAUUAUAACUUAAUAAAACUUUCAACAACGGAUCUCUUGGCUCUCGCAUCGAUGAAGAACGCAGC